GUGACCCGCACGCCGCCUCACGCGGGUUUCUGGAGUUAUCCCCGGAGUUUUCUCCGCCGUCGGAUCGACGGGCGUUGGGGGCAUCUCGACCGUUGAGGUGUGUGCGUCCGUGCAUGCAUGCGUCGUGGGUUUAGAAUUACCACGGUGCCCCUGGUAGUCUGGUCUCGGAUUAGGCCGGCAUAUUCUGGUUUAUCGCUGAGUGGGAUUAUCUGAAUAGGAAGUCAACAUUUUGGACGGUUUUUUCAAGAGGAUAUGUUCUUGGACGGUGACCGAGAAAACAUGUUGAUAAGGACUGGAUGGUGACAUGGUAAUGGAAGCCACGUUCUCUCUAUUUAUUUUAUAUUAUAUAGAGUAUGAAUUUUAAAACUACUAUUUUAAGUAUUGAGCCUGGAUUUCGAUUGACGGGGUUUUUUUCCUUUUUUUUUCCAAAAAUUAGCUCGACGUUAUCUACAGCCAGGCAGCCAGCAAACGAUCAAAGAAAGAUGAUGGCGUAUGUGCGACCAUUAUAUAUUCGAGAGUUUGCUAGCUAGGUGAAGAUUUGUCCAUGAAUCUUUUAUCUUCAGCAUUAUCUAAAUACCGACGGAUAUAGUGAUUCAAUAAAUUUCUACUCAAUAAAAAUAAGUUAUAUUUAUAUACAAGUAUGUUCUACGUUAUAUGCAUUAUUUAUUUUUAUCUCCAUUUAGUAAAAUAGAGGACGUUUAGAGUAGCUAAUUGCAUUAGAUGUAUUGCUAACUAAUGACCUGUUUGGUUCAUGACGAAGUUUGCCACGUCUAACCUCGAAUAAAUUGUGGUAAGCAAAAUCAAUGUUGGGUUGUUGGUAAAAGUUUAGCAAGGAAAUAAAUCUGUAAUGUGUGGAAUUAAAAGGUAACUUGGCUUUGCACUACGUUUAAGAUGGGACUGGCUUCGGCGAACAAAGCCUGAUUCAGUAUGGACUAGCCUACCAUCGAAGCCUAAGAAUAAGACCAUCUUCGCCAUGUUCUAGGUGUCGGUCACCGUUCAUAUUGGUGACGGCUGCUCCACGAAGUUCUAGAUCGAUGCUCCGGACGGUGCCAUUUCG
rnacentral:lncRNA from 1 species